rfam:Triticum aestivum genome assembly, contig: Triticum_aestivum_CS42_TGACv1_scaffold_049656_1BS
CACCUACUCCCUCUGUUCGGAAUUACUUGUCUCGAAAAUGGAUGUAUCUAGAACUAAAAUACGUCUAGAUACAUCCAUAUUUACGACAAGUAAUUCCGAACGGAGGGAGUACAAC